GACGAACGCUGGCGGCGUGCUUAACACAUGCAAGUCGAACGGAAAGGCCUGCUUUCCCUUGUGGAUUGCGGGUACUCGAGUGGCGAACGGGUGAGUAACACGUGAGUGAUCUGCCCCCAACUUGGGUAUAAGCCUGGGAAACUGGGUCUAAUUCCCGAUAGGACUGCAGGGUGGUGCCUGUGGUGGAAAACGAUUUUCUAGUGGUUGGGGAUGAGCUCGCGGCCUAUCAGCUUGUUGGUGGGGUAAUGGCCUACCAAGGCGGCGACGGGUAGCCGGCCUGAGAGGGUGGACGGCCACAUUGGGACUGAGAUACGGCCCAUACUCCGACGAGAGGCAGCAGUUGGGAAUAUUUCACAAUGGGCGGAAGCCUGAAGCAGCGACGCCGCGUGGGGGAUGACGGCCUUCGGGUAGUAAACUCCUUUCGACCGCGAGGAAGCCACCUGGGUGGAGGGGUGGUGACGGUAGUGGUAGAAGAAGCACCGGCUAACUACGUG
rnacentral:rRNA from 1 species